UGUAGUCAAUAAGGGCUGUCUCAAAGAUUAAGGCCAUGCAUGUCUAAGUAUUAAGCAAUUUAUUAACACGCCGAAACUAGCGAAUAGGCUCAUUAUAUAAGUUAUCGUUUAUUUGAAUAGUACCUUACUACUUGGAUAACCGUGGUAAUUUCUAGAGCUAAUACAUGCUAAAAAUCCCGACUUCGGAAGGGAUGUAUUUAUUAGAUUAAAAACCAAUGCCCCUCGGGGCUCUCUGGUGAUUCAUAAUAACUUCUCGAAUCGCACGGCCCUUGCGCCGGCGAUGGUUCAUUCAAAUUUCUUCCCUAUCAACUUUCGAUGUUUGGGUAGUGGCCAAACAUGGUUGCAACGGGUAACGGAGGGUUAGGGCUCGACCCCGGAGAAGGAGCCUGAGAAACGGCUACUACAUCCAAGGAAGGCAGCAGGCGCGCAAAUUACCCAAUCCCGAUUCGGGGAGGUAGUGACAAUAAAUACUGAUACAGGGCUCUUUCGGGUCUUGUAAUUGGAAUGAGUACAAUUUAAAUCCCUUAACGAGGAACAAUUGGAGGGCAAGUCUGGUGCCAGCAGCCGCGGUAAUUCCAGCUCCAAUAGCGUAUAUUAAAGUUGUUGUGGUUAAAAAGCUCGUAGUUGAACCUUGGGCCUGGCUGGCCGGUCCGCCUCACCGCGUGUCACUGGUCCGGCCGGGUCUUUCCCUCUGUGGAACCACAUGCCCUUCACUGGGCGUGGCGGGGAAACAGGACUUUUACUUUGAAAAAAUUAGAGUGCUCCAGGCAGGCCUAUGCUCGAAUACAUUAGCAUGGAAUAAUGAAAUAGGACGUGCGGUUCUAUUUUGUUGGUUUCUAGGACCGCCGUAAUGAUUAAUAGGGACAGUCGGGGGCAUCAGUAUUCAAUUGUCAGAGGUGAAAUUCUUGGAUUUAUUGAAGACUAACUACUGCGAAAGCAUUUGCCCAGGGAUGUUUUCAUUAAUCAGGAACGAAAGUUAGGGGAUCGAAGACGAUCAGAUACCCGUCGUAGUCUUAACCAUAAACUAUGCCGACUAGGGAUCGGACGAUGUUAUUUAGUUGACUCGUUCGGCCACCUUACGAGAAAUCCAAGUGCUUGGGCUUCCAGGGGAAGUAUGGUUUUCGCCAGGGCUGAAACUUAAGAAAUAUUUGACCGGAAGAA
rnacentral:rRNA from 1 species